rnacentral:sRNA from 1 species
CGUCAGCGACCCCACCGCCUGCCCGCUCCCCGGCCACGCAACCAAUCCGAUCGCCGCCGGCUCCGGCGAUGU